GGACUACUGGGGUUUCUAAUCCCGUUCGCUCCCCUGGCUUUCGCACCCGAGCGUCAGUGACUCCCCAGGAUGGUGCCUUCGCCUUUGGUGUUCUUCCGGAUCUCUACGCAUUUCACCACUCCACCCGGAAUUCCCCAUCCCUCUGAAGCCCUCAAGUCCCACAGUUUCCGUAAGCCUGACACAGUUAAGCUGUGCCCUGUCCCUACAGACUAAUGGGACCGCCUGCGUGCGCUUUACGCCCAGUAACUCCGGACAACGCUCGCCUCCUACGUAUUACCGCGGCUGCUGGCAC
rnacentral:rRNA from 1 species